rnacentral:rRNA from 1 species
UACGUAGGGGGCAAGCGUUGUCCGGAUUUAUUGGGCGUAAAGAGCGUGUAGGCGGCCAUGUAGGUCCGUUGUGAAAACUCGAGGCUCAACCUCGAGACGCCGAUGGAAACCAUGUGGCUAGAGUCCGGAAGAGGAGAGUGGAAUUCCUGGUGUAGCGGUGAAAUGCGCAGAUAUCAGGAAGAACACCCGUGGCUAAGGCGGCUCUCUAGUACGGUACUGACGCUAAGACGCGAAAGCGUGGGGAGCGAACAGG